rnacentral:rRNA from 1 species
GACGAACGCUGGCGGCGUGCCUAAUACAUGCAAGUUGAGCGCUGAAGGUUGGUACUUGUACCAACUGGAUGAGCAGCGAAAGGGUGAGUAACGCGUGGGGAAUCUGCCUUUGAGCGGGGGACAACAUUUGGAAACGAAUGCUAAUACCGCAUAAAAACUUUAAAAACAAGUUUUAAGUUUGAAAGAUGCAAUUGCAUCACUCAAAGAUGAUCCCGCGUUGGAUUAGCUAGUUGGUGAGGUAAAGGCUCACCAAGGCGAUGAUACAUAGCCGACCUGAGAGGGUGAUCGGCCAAAGUAGAACUGAGACACGGCCCAAACUCAGACGGGAGGCAGCAGUAGGGAAUCUUCGGCAAUGGACGAAAGUCUGGCCGAGCAACACCGCGUGAGUGAAGAAGGUUUUCGGAUCAUAAGAAUCUGUUGGUAGAGAAGAACGUUAGUGAGAGUGGAAAGCUCAACAAGUGACGAUAACUACUCAGAAAGGGACGGCUAACUACGUG